UCCCCAGUCUUCAGGGCAGUUCUCAAUCAAUUCUCUGCCCUGCCUGUAUUUGUACUUGGGAUUGCCCUGACCCAGAUGCAGGACCUUGCAGCUGGCCUUGUUGAAUGUCAUGAGUUUCACACAGGCCCACCUCUCGAGCCUGUCCAGGUCCCUCUGGAUGGCAUCCCUUCCCUCCACCAUGUCGACUGCACCACACAGCUUGGUGUCAUUGGCAAACUUGCUGAGGGUGCACUCAAUCU